rnacentral:misc_RNA from 1 species
UGCUCUCUCUCUCUUUUUCUCACUGUUUCAAGCUCGGACUUAGAUCAUUCACUGUCACCCCUUUUCCUCUCUCUCUCUAAUAUUUCUAUUGAAGUCUCUCCAUUUUUCGCUGGACUGUAUCGAGAGUGGUUAGGGUUGCAUUCUUUCUCCACAUUUCCCUUAUUUUUUAGCUACCCAUACGCAGCUACUCUCUAAUGUCACACCCAAUUGGGCUCUCUUUCUGGAGAGAGAGCUUCCUGGUUUUUGUUUUUCUUUCUUUUCCAUAGGUCACUUAGGGAGAGAGAGAUAUAUAUAUAUAUUUAUAUAUAUCUUUGAUAACCAGCUGCUUUGUUUUAGAUUUGAGAUCAAGAGUAGAAAACAAGGAAAAGAAGAAGCUGGUUUUUAGACUGACUGAGCUAGAGAGAGAAGGAGGGGUGAGGGGGAAGAAGAGAAAUUUGGUUCCAAGUUUGGAUUUUUUUUAAGCUUAGUUGUAUUUUUGUUUUUAUUAAUUUCUUUGCUUUCCCCCUCUUUUGGGUUAAAGCAGAAUUUGGUUUUUUGAGAGAUUGGUGAACAAAUAAGGAGGAGAAGGUUUCUCGCAAAAAUCCAUACAGAUUCUCCGUGUCUGUAUAUAUUGGCCUUCACUCUGCGAAACCCAACUUCAUUUGGCUUUUACCUUCCUCUCCAAUCCUUACCCUUUUCUUUUUAAGUCUCAAGAUUCUUCAUUAAGCUCAAAUCAUUCUCAUACCUCUCUCUCUAUCUCAGACCUCUCUCUCUAUCUCAGACACACACAUCUUUGAAGGAACGGGCUUUACUAAAACGAAAGAAUCUUAAUCCAUAAGCCCCUAAAAUAUAAGGAAGAAAAUCCCAGAACAACCACCUUCCCUCUCUCUCUCUGGCUGUCUGUUUGGUGGUCUAUUUGGUGGGUUUAUUUCUCCUUUUUUAUUUUUAUUUUUUUUUAAUCUAAGCUCAUGCAUGUAUUCCCAAAGGACUUGACUUACAUGUGGUAUUUUUUUUAUAUGUUAUUAUCCUUUAAUAUUUUUUUAUUACGU